UCCUCGUAUUUUAAUAAAACUCCUAAAUGCCUUCUAGUGGGUUUGAUGAGCAACAAUCAUGAAACAGUAUACACGGAUCAAAAGAAAAUACACCCUCAAUUUACUGUGUGCUUGACCUCUGUGUCAGGAAAUAUUGGUUCAAGUUGGCCCUAUUUGUAGCAAAUAAACUGGUGACCUCUAAAUGAGUUUAAGCCAAAGCUCAAGCAUGAGAAACAGAUUCUGCUGUGGCCUCAUUUAUUAACAAAGAUAAAACAAAAUGAGGUUUGUGGAAAGCUAAGUACCCUAAUAUACUGCCAGCAUGCAUUUUUUAAAAGGCUUUAAUAAAUAAAACCAAACAAGUGUCAAUGUAGUACAAGCAGUUUAGAUUAUGCCUGAGAGAAUUUAAGAAUUUUAAUUUAUUUUUAUUUUUUGACAAGAAGCAUUGCUUUGUUCCUUGAUUUAGAUUGGCAGCUCAAAUCGUUUUGAAAACCGUAUCGGAGUAAUCAUUUUCAGGGUAGUAUAUCUCUGAUUUUGUAUUCCUGACCAUUGAUAGAUGAAAAACUCUGGCUGGUCUUUUACCCAGCACAAUAAUUAGUGGUUUGUGUCAUAUAAAUCAGUUUUUUUUAGACCUUGUUGCUUGUUUGAUAAAUGUUUAUGGAUAAUGAGGUUAUUACAUGAUUAACGUGAAGAGAAUCUUACCCGACACAUAUCUUACGCAAGGCACGUAUCUUGCCAUAUGUGUCAACUGACACCUGAAUUUUAUUUUGGUUUAACAU